rnacentral:rRNA from 1 species
AUUGAACGCUGGCGGCAGGCCUAACACAUGCAAGUCGAACGGUAACAGGAAGAAGCUUGCUUCUUUGCUGACGAGUGGCGGACGGGUGAGUAAUGUCUGGGAAACUGCCUGAUGGAGGGGGAUAACUACUGGAAACGGUAGCUAAUACCGCAUAACGUCGCAAGACCAAAGAGGGGGACCUUCGGGCCUCUUGCCAUCGGAUGUGCCCAGAUGGAAUUAGCUAGUAGGUGGGGUAACGGCUCACCUAGGCGACGAUCCCUAGCUGGUCUGAGAGGAUGACCAGCCACACUGGAACUGAGACACGGUCCAGACUCCUACGGGAGGCAGCAGUGGGGAAUAUUGCACAAUGGGCGCAAGCCUGAUGCAGCCAUGCCGCGUGUAUGAAGAAGGCCUUCGGGUUGUAAAGUACUUUCAGCGGGGAGGAAGGGAGUAAAGUUAAUACCUUUGCUCAUUGACGUUACCCGCAGAAGAAGCACCGGCUAACUCCGUG